GAUGAACGCUCGCGGGAGGCCUAACACAUGCAAGCCGAGCGGUAUUGUUUCUUCGGAAAUGAGAGAGCGGCGUACGGGUGCGUAACACGUGUGCAACCUGCCUUUAUCUGGGGGAUAGCCUUUCGAAAGGAAGAUUAAUACUCCAUAAUAUAUUGAACGGCAUCGUUUAAUAUUGAAAGCUCCGGCGGAUAGAGAUGGGCACGCGCAAGAUUAGCUAGUUGGUGAGGUAACGGCUCACCAAGGCGAUGAUCUUUAGGGGGCCUGAGAGGGUGAUCCCCCACACUGGUACUGAGACACGGACCAGACUCCUACGGGAGGCAGCAGUGAGGAAUAUUGGUCAAUGGGUGCAAGCCUGAACCAGCCAUCCCGCGUGAAGGACGACUGCCCUAUGGGUUGUAAACUUCUUUUGUAUAGGGAUAAACCUACCCUCGUGAGGGUAGCUGAAGGUACUAGACGAAUAAGCACCGGCUAACUCCGUG
rnacentral:rRNA from 1 species